GUGAACGUUGGCGGUGUGCUUAACACAUGCAAGUCGAACGAGAACGGUACUAGCUUGCUAGUAUGUCAGCUAAGUGGCGGACGGGUGAGUAAUGUAUAGUUAAUCUGCCCUUUAGAGAGGAAUAACUACUGGAAACGGUAGCUAAUACCUCAUACUCCUUCUGCCUUAAUGGUAGUUGGGAAAUGUUUUUUCGCUAAAGGAUGAGACUAUAUGGUAUCAGGUAGUUGGUGGGGUAAGAGCCUACCAAGCCUAUGACGCCUAGCUGGUCUGAGAGGGUGAUCAGCCACACUGGAACUGAGACACGGUCCAGACUCCUACGGGAGGCAGCAGUGGGGAAUAUUGCACAAUGGAGGAAACUCUGAUGCAGCAACACCGCGUGGAGGAUGACACAUUUCGGUGCGUAAACUCCUUUUAUAUGGGAAGAUAAUGACGGUACCAUAUGAAUAAGCUACCGGCUAACUCCGGU
rnacentral:rRNA from 1 species